rnacentral:rRNA from 1 species
CCUACGGGAGGCAGCAGUGGGGAAUAUUGGACAAUGGGCGAAAGCCUGAUCCAGCCAUGCCGCGUGUGUGAAGAAGGCCUUCGGGUUGUAAAGCACUUUCAGUGGGGAAGAAAGCCUUGGGGCUAAUACCCUCGAGGAAGGACAUCACCCACAGAAGAAGCACCGGCUAACUCCGUGCCAGCAGCCGCGGUAAUACGGAGGGUGCGAGCGUUAAUCGGAAUUACUGGGCGUAAAGCGCGCGUAGGCGGUCUGAUAAGCCGGUUGUGAAAACCCCGGGCUCAACCUGGGAACGGCAUCCGGAACUGUCAGGCUAGAGUGCAGGAGAGGAAGGUAGAAUUCCCGGUGUAGCGGUGAAAUGCGUAGAGAUCGGGAGGAAUACCAGUGGCGAAGGCGGCCUUCUGGACUGACACUGACGCUGAGGUGCGAAAGCGUGGGUAGCAAACAGGAUUAGAUACCCGAGUAGUC